GGCGGCAGGCCUAACACAUGCAAGUCGAACGAACCCUUCGGGGUUAGUGGCGGACGGGUGAGUAACACGUGGGAACGUACCUUUAGGUUCGGAACAACACAGGGAAACUUGUGCUAAUGCCGAAUGUGCCCUUCGGGGGAAAGAUUUAUCGCCUUUAGAGCGGCCCGCGUCUGAUUAGCUUGUUGGUGAGGUAAAGGCUCACCAAGGCUACGAUCAGUAGCUGGUCUGAGAGGAUGAUCAGCCACACUGGGACUGAGACACGGCCCAGACUCCUACGGGAGGCAGCAGUGGGGAAUCUUGCGCAAUGGGCGAAAGCCUGACGCAGCCAUGCCGCGU
rnacentral:rRNA from 1 species